CAACCAAUUGUGAUGCUACAAACAGAGGAUUAUGGCUUUAGGUGGGAAAUAAACAGCAGGAACAGAUGAACACUUAAGAAACAAAGAUCCUGUUUUCAUGCAAAUGUCUUUUGUCAUCAAGAACAAGAGGUGUUCCCUUCAGCCAGCAACAGAGCUGCAUGAGGCAUAGAAGUCAACUCUCUAAAAACUGGUCUUCAAUAAUUAAGGGUCCAUAGAAGAAUCUUUCAGCCCUUCAAGCAGCAGGACUGGCAGACUGAUCAGCCUCCCAGCUCCCCCCUGCCCUUCCAGCACUGCUCCCCAUCCCCUUGGGCCAUGCCCAGGACCAAAGGCCACACUCCAGCUUCAGGCACGAGGGAUUACAUCAUGCAUCUUCCAGAAUACAGCCUGACAUCCUUUUCUGCAAGCCCUGGACUUAGGUGGAUGGCAGACCACAGCCUCCCCCGCUGCAGGCUGACUGCCUCUGCAGCACUCUGCAAAUAUACAGUCCUUCACACUGGAGACCACCGUGCUGAUAAACCUCUGCAAACUUUUCUCCAGAUAUGAAUGCUAUGACAGGAAUCUGUUGCUUUAUUUCCCAAGCCGUAUCUACAACAGACACUCAAACUGCUCCCAAAAUAAUACCCGGUUACUAUUAAACCUGGUUUUGAAAUUUGUGUUGGCAGAGACAAACAGAGCCAUCUAGCAGCUCCUCACCAGAGAACCUCCGCCUCAAACCUUAUCUGACAACGCACCUUUAGAUACCAGCAGAUGUAUCCUCACACGUAGGAAGCUAAAAGGAGCAUGCUAUUAACAAAUGCAGGUGUUGGAAACUUGGCAGGGCCCCCAAAAUCCACCACUUUAAUAUUUCUAUAACCCACAAAAGCAGGGCUUAUGAAUACAACUGCACUAACGGCGCUCACUGUGUAUUAACUUCUCUGUUCUCUGAGAACGAUGAGGACAGGCUUGGCUUUGGCUUCUCCAUACCUCAAGUGAAUUGAGGCAUUUGGUUACGUCCAUAGAAACAAAGUGUUCUUGACAGCCUUCAUCAAGGAGAUGUCAAACAAACAUUAUCUAUGCAUCCGUCAUUGCUCCAGCUCUUGUUUUUAUAUUAUCUGACUUCAGAGAAAUUGAGAAAAAGGUGACACUUCUAAAGAAGAUGAAGUAUAUUACCUAAUGAUAGUGCUUUCCUGAGACACUUCCUCGUGAAGCAGACGUUUAGUGACCGUGGCAGAACCGAAUGUGGAACUUGGGAGACCGACAGCUGUUAAACUCGGGACUUCAGAUUACACUCAAAAGGAAAAGGACAUUUUAUUCGCCUUGGAUUUCUAGAACACACCAUAGCUUUUGAGGAAUGCAUCUAGCUCAUUAGAAGUACAAGCCCAUUUAUUUUUCCAGCAUGGUGACAGAUAGCGAAUGAGAAGACAUCUGCUAAAAUAGAAUGGCAGUAAUAAUGUUAGAUGGACACCUAUCUGUCUCCCUUAAAAAUCCAAUACAGCACUGCUGUAAUUCGCUCUCAAUAACGGGCCAUCAAUUAAUCUUUUGCAAGAGAGGUUUAGACCAUAAACUUGUAUUGAUUUUAAAAUUAAGAAUAAAACUGGAAAACAGCCACAUGCAGAACAUCUUCCAAAAGCGUUUCACAAGACAGACCUUUUGCUUCCCAGCUUAAUCUCUGCAAAUUUAUAUACUUAGAAAAACGAGAAGGAAUGCCUUGCUAGAUUCACCACAGAACGAGCGUUGCAGUAACCUGCAGUAACCGUGGCAAAAUCUGCCCCCGCCGUUGCAGUGGGUGCUCCUUGCCUUAAAGACAAUUUCACACUGUCUAAACUUGUUGAAUCCAAGAGGAAAUCAAUGUUUACCACCCCGAGCAACAAAGGGAAUUAGUUCCCAGCCAACCUGUGAGAAGGCAUUUAUUUUCUAUCCUUGAAAGAGCUUUACAUCUCACACUCAGAAUACCUGGAGAUCUCACUCAAUGUAAUCUCUAAUCCUCCAUCUCAAAGCCUUCUGUCUACCUCCACAAGCCACAUUUGGGAAAAAUAACUUUACUAAAAGAGGACCGUACAUUGCAAAAGCUUGUUUUUAAUCGACUAAUAAAACUGGAAGCAUUCAACAAGGGGCUGUGGCUUUCAAGGGACCAUACACUGGGAAUAUGACUUCCUCCUGCAACAGUGAAAAUGUUUCACCAUUAUAAUGAAAAUACUUAAUCUGAUAAAAGUCACAAGAGGCACUGCCUUGCAAUGAGAAUCAGGGAAAAUUUGGGAAGAGAUGCCGUGUAGGCUACCAGCAAUAUAACAGAGGGUUACGUGUUAAUAAAGCUGACAUUGCAAACUCUCUUUGUAUUUAGGUCACUGCCCCACGUUACGUUGCUUUUGUCAUUUACUAACUUGUAAACUUAUAAUGCAUCAAGUCAGCAGAGCAGGCCCACUGAUUUUGGCCACAAGUAACACAGGAGGUCACAAACCUCACUGACCUUUUUCUUUUUCUCCCCAGAGGGAGGAGCGAGAGGGCUUAUACCUUUUAACUGUGUGUCAUACAAGCAGCGAUCAGAAAACAGACUGCUUUAGUGUUUCCCACUAAUAAAAUACCCAAAUUCUGGAAAAGUCUUUCCAGUGCCACUGCAAACACUCCAGGGAUAAGCAAACAUCAGUUUCUGAUAUGCUUGAGGAGUCACUGAAAGCUAUUCUCCCUCCAUUCCCAACACGGUAACAGUCGUUGCUCCUCUGUUUACACACAAGACACGAAAUACAGAUACGAAGGACUAAACUUUAGGACUGUGUACAUUUGAAGUGAGUUCACCACAAGCAAAAUGUUACUAACGCAGCAUCAGACAAACCACACACGAGCUCCCAUAGCCCAGCAAGCUUCAACUUCAUCUCUCAAAUGGAGAGUUCUAGGUGCUGAAAGAAAAAAGGCUCAAAUAAACCCUUCGUGUCUACUUCAAUAAACAUAACCACAGCUCCUGUGAAAACUACAGCUGCUCCAUUUAGCAUUAUCAGAUUUACUUUACAAAAUACAGAGAUACGUUUUAAUUUCCAAAUGAUCCUUAGAGGGAACAAAAUAGGAUGGCAGUGCUUGUGGGGAAUGCGGUGUUAUUAAAACGAUAAAUCCCAUCAAAAAGAAAAUAGUUUGGGUUUUUUUAAUUUUUUUUUCCAGUGCUGAAAAGGGUGAAAAUGGCUUUCCGAGAGCUCAGCUGAAAAUUUAAAUUUAUUUUUUCCUUCCAGUGGUGAAAAGGGUAUAAAAAUGGUUUCCCAGAAGUUUAGCAGACAAUAUUUUAUUCACGUAAAGCAAAUGUUUUGUUUCCUUUGUCGCUUCUCUGAGUAAUAAUGAGUGUUUUUAAAGAAAAGCAAGCUUUGAAACACCACGCUAAAUUCUUCUCCAGCAAAGCAGUCAAAUUUGUGUCUUACACUCCAGCGUAUACCCAAGAUGCAUUGACUCCAACAGGACAUCAGUGUUGCCUGAAGCACCUGGCUAGCAGAGCUCCUUUCCUACCUGACCCAGCAAUUAAGAGGUCCUCAUUUAUUUUACCAAAAGAUGAAGGGCAAUGCCUGCACUGCAACACUCUGCCCAUCUCUCAGCUGCACGCAGGCUGGGACCUCGCUGUGUGCCAGGGCACCAGCAAGCAGGGCACAUGCUCCAUGGCUCUGUGGAAAUCAUGGCAAACACCCACAGCACCAAAGGAAGGAGGUUAACAUGUUAGCUCUCUGUCUUGGUAGAGAUUUACUGCACACACACUUUUUUCUGUGCAAUAAACAAACAGUAUUUUGAAAUCUGGGUGCUUUAAGGAAAUGCUUCAGUUCGUGCCAAGGUUAAGCCUGUCUCUGUUCUGCAACCACUUCAACGCAACCACCGUGCCUGCAGUGAUAAGCUCCAAUCCACUCCUCACCAGCCAGCACCACAGCGUUUGGGCUCCUCACAUUGCUGCUGUUGUUCCAGCCACCCCACAACCAGCUUCUUCUCUGCACCUUCUUCUUUCCAUUUCUACCCAGCCACAACAGCCGUACUUCCCCAGGCUUCCCACCUCUGGUAGCAUGUUGCCCCAUGCUCUCUCAGCAUCCCUAACCCUCAGGCUAGUAGAAUGAGAAAGGAAGAAAUGGAAGCAAUGACAUAUUAUAACUGAGCAAUGGUUGUGCAGCUUCAGAGCCCUAUCUGUCACUGUUCUGGAGCAAAGGAAGAAAAUACCUUUGCUUGUCAAUGCCUCAUCCAGUAGGUGAAAAACAUCAGUACGGAAAAGGUUCAAAGGCAAGAAGAAAACAAAGACAAAUUUCAAAAGGCAGCCAAUGUUGGUAACUCUGUCGCAAGCACUGAAGUAUGGGAUUUCACAGCAGGAUGAAGAAAAUCACACACCUGCUAACUUUAAACUUGAGGCGCUAUGAAGCAGAUUUGUUUCUAUUUCAUCUCCAUCUGACAUGGGUGAUCAGU